rnacentral:rRNA from 1 species
UCGGGAAUUUUGGGCAAUGGGCGCAAGCCUGAUGCAGCGACGCCGCGUGAGGGAUGACGGCCUUCGGGUUGUAAACCUCUUUCAGUAGGGAAGAAGCGAAAGUGACGGUACCUGCAGAAGAAGCGCCGGCUAACUACGUGCCAGCAGCCGCGGUAAUACGUAGGGCGCAAGCGUUAUCCGGAAUUAUUGGGCGUAAAGGGCAGGUAGGUGGUCCCAAAAGUCUACUGUGAAAUCCCCAGGGCUUAACCCUGGAACUGCGGUGGAAACUUUGGGACUUGAGUGCUGGAGGGGUGCGUGGAAUUCCCGGCGUAGCGGUGAAAUGCGUAGAUAUCGGGAGGAACACCAGAGGCGAAAGCGGCGCACUGGACAGCAACUGACACUCAACUGCGAAAGCGUGGGGAGCAAACAGGAUUAGAUACCCAAGUAGUCCCUGAGCGGGCUGGCAAGGCGCAU